AGAAUCAUAAAGUGGUAUUUCCUCGACAGUAUAUCUGCAUCAAAACAGGUAGGAUGAGAUCAAAGAGGUAGUGCAAAACCAAAAACAAAUACAAUCGAGAAGAAUGUUGGAAUCACAUCAUAUCCAGCUUGAUAGUUGACCCGGAUUCCUAGGGAUUUGAUUGAUAUGGAAUCCCAUAAUAUUAUCCUGAUUGAUAUGCAAUCCCAUAAUAUUAGUACUUUGAUUUUAUUUUCUUUCCUUUUAUGUUUCAUUCUCUUGGGUAUAUAUACCCCUCUCUUGUAAAUACAUUAAUCAAGAUUUCAAUAUAUAAUUCUUCUCUUUUUCUAGUAAUCAUUGAAGUAGUCUUUUGAAAACCACGGUACGAAAAGAAAACAGCUGAAAUUUAUUCUAGACAUUUUAAUGACAAGGAAAAACUUCAGUCCACCUCAAGAACUGGAUCCAUGAAUAUUGGAAUUUAUGUUUCGUGUUAAGUAGAUACUCCCCCAAUAGGCAUGAGAGGAAGUUUGGAAUCAAAAAUCCAUGCCACAUAUUUUGUUGAUAUUUAAAAGCUCAUGUUUUCCGUUAUAUUAUUGUCCCACAGCCAAAAUCUAUCCAUGCCAAUACACAUCCUUUUGAAAGAGCACACCACUUGAACAAUAUUGUAGUAAUUUUGUCCAGUUUGAUGUACUUGAAGAAGUAAUACCAUUGAAACAACUGAGUGACCCAAAAGCAAAAGUCACCUAUCUGCAUAGGUCUAAAGGCUCUAGUCAAGUGAUGAUUCAUAUCUAGAUUCAUGCACUCCAAAAAGUAGGAUAAAAGUAAAUGAUGAUAGGAUGACAAUCAGUGAUUGAUGUUAUGAGCCUCGGCUGCCUCCCACUCAUUCAAAAUUGGUUUGGAGUUGGAUGCUUUAACAUGAUAUCAUAACUAGGCUAAUUAUCACCUCGAAAACUAGCCUAUGAGCCUGAGCGGCCUCUCCUCUCAUUGCCAAUUGGUUUUGAGUUGGAUGUUUUAACAUGGCAUCAGAGCUAGGCUUUCGGAGGCUUUUGGACAAGACUCUCUUGAUUAAUUACCCCGUUGUUUGUGCCUUAAGCACACCUUGUAUCGUUUCGUUGUUCGUUGUGAUCACUAUGUUUUGGAUCCAUUGUUUAUCUUUGCACAUGCAAACAGCAGCCUCUUCACUCAUCCCAAUUGGUUUUGAGUUGGAGUGCUUUCAUUGCUCACUCAUCUAUCAUGGUAGUCAUGACGUAGAGAGAUUAGUAUAUUGACUAAAGCCCGUGAAAAAUUGUGGAGGCAACAGCAUAUGAUUUAUUGGUCAGUAUUGCGUAUUGAAUCCUUGUUGU